CCGCUUACCUGCCGGGGUCGCUCCGAAGACUCGCACCACCGGCACCUUCUUGACAGGGGCCUGGGUGAGGGGGGAUUGGCAGGUCACAAGGGAACCACCUGAAGGGUGGGCAGAGGCCCCCGUGGAGGAGCCACAUACUCUUCCUCUUUUUGGAAUGUACUUACAUCCCUAAGGUAGCGCUCCAUCCAUUUAAUGAUAUCAAUGCCUCGGAUUCUAUCCUCAAAUAUGUCAAUCUGAAUACUCUCCCAGCAGGCAAAGAAGCUAAAACUUGCUAAGGGACCACCCAGCAGUGUCUUCUUUUGAUCUCCUGAUGCUCUCUGCUGCCCUGAAA
rnacentral:lncRNA from 1 species